rnacentral:tRNA from 1 species
GGGGGUGUAGCUCAUAUGGUAGAGCGCUCGCUUCGCAUGCAAGAGGUACGGGGUUCAAUUCCCUGCACCUCCA